rnacentral:rRNA from 1 species
CCUACGGGAGGCAGCAGUCGAGAAUCAUUCACAAUGGGGGAAACCCUGAUGGUGCGACGCCGCGUGGGGGAAUGAAGGUCUUCGGAUUGUAAACCCCUGUCAUGUGGGAGCAAAUUAAAAAGAUAGUACCACAAGAGGAAGAGACUGCUAACUCUGUGCCAGCAGCCGCGGUAAUACAGAGGACUCAAGUGUUGUCCGGAAUCACUGGGCGUAAAGCGUGCGUAGGCUGUUUCGUAAGUCGUGUGUGAAAAGUGCGGGCUCAACCCGCGGACGGCACAUGAUACUGCGAGACUAGAGUAAUGGAGGGGGAACCGGAAUGCUCGGUGUAGCAGUGAAAUGCGUAGAUAUCGAGAGGAACACUCGUGGCGAAGGCGGGUUCCUGGACAUUAACUGACGCUGAGGCACGAAGGCCAGGGGAGCGAAAGGGAUUAGAUACCCGGGUAGUC